UCAACAGAAGAACAGAUACAGAUGGAUUAAGUGCAAUAUAUGCAGGCAUUCUACAUGCAAUCAAGAAUAGAACAAACACUAACAGACAAAAUAUACCACCAACACAAUCACAAAAUGUGCAAACACAAUAAACACACACAACAUCAAGCAAGAACAUACACAUACUAGUCUCAUUUCCAUCAGUUAGGAAAGGCAAAAGCAACUGUGCGCGGGCGAUUAUCGCGUAGAGCUUUUAUCGAAAAGCGUAGGUGCAGGCGAAAGCUAGUUUAAAAAUCCCUGUGAAACAUUUCGUAAUACAGUGAGGGCCGCGAAGAAUGAUACGCACAGAUCAUAGUGGGACGCCAUUAGAAAUUUUAGACGGUCACAAGUCGGACAAGACACCAAUACACACAACAAAACGCAGCCUCUAAACCCUUGAAGAAGGCGAAAUAUACGCCGAAACGUCGGAGAAGUAGAAGCAAAAGUCGUUUUAGCUGCCUUAAGACUGAUAGAGC